GCAUCCAGGGCCUGCAGCGCGGAAGCAUUCCAGAGAAGUCGCGGGAGCCGCCCGGGGACUCCACAGCCCAGGCCUCUCCCAAGCCACCUCGGCUUUACACUGCUCCCUGCCACCUCGGUUUCCGCUCUUUCCCCAGAGCUGGAAGUGGGAAACUUCUCCCCUGCAGGGAUCGGACGGGUUUACUCCGUGAAG
ensembl:misc_RNA predicted gene, 27772